CAGUAAUAUGGUAGUAGAAAUUGCAGAACUUAGGAGGGAGAUUGAUGUUCUCAAACAAUCAAAUAUUGAUUUAGUUCGUACAUUAACUAAUAAAGCAGUUGCUAGUUUAACAUCAAACAGCACUAAUAAUAAUAACCACUCAUCUGAUAAAAUACCGUGUAAUUCUGAAGUAAAAAAAUCAUAUGCAACAAAAUUAUCUGAGUCUACAAAAUCUAAAGUCAUGAUUAAGCCUAAGGUUGCUCAACAAGCAGUGAAAACGCAAGAAGAUUUGUUGCGGAAUGUUGAUCUGGUUAAUGAAAAUAUUCGUGUUACUAAUGCUAAAACAACCAAAGGAGGAGCUGUUAUUGUAGGGUGCAACGAUCGUGAGCAUUCAAAUAAAUUAAAAAGACUCGCUACUGAUAAACUUUCAGGUGAUUAUGAUGUUUUUGUCCUUAGAUCGGAGCAUCCUAAGAUUCGAGUGGUAGGUAUUCCAUCGUGUUUGAAUAAAGAGACAUUUAUGAAUUACUUGAAAUCUCAAAACAGUGAUCUGCUAGCCGACGCAACCGAACUACGCUUGCUAAAUUUUUGGGAGUUGCGGAAAAAUAAAAAAGUUCUUCAAGCUACUCUACAACUAGAUAUUAUUACAUACAAAAAAAUAAUGGAUGCUGGCGGAUUAUUGGUUGGAAUAAAUAUUUGCAAAGUGUAUGAUGAUACAAAUGUGGUUCGCUGUUUUAAAUGUAGUGGGUUAAAUCAUACGAAAAAUAAAUGCCCAAGACAAAUGAUUUGUCCAAUAUGUGCGGGUUCGCAUCAGGUAAACAGCUGUACGUCAGAAAAAAAAAUGUGUAUUAACUGUAGAGACUUAAGACAUAUACAUGGGUUUGAUAUAGGAGUAGAUCAUUCAGCCUGGGAUUACACCAACUGCUUUGCGUAUAAAUUUGCACUGGCGAAACUUAGAAAUGUUGUUUUUGCAGAACCAAUUCAAAUAGAAAUAAAUAAGAUUCCUAAUUUUAAACAUCCUGCUAAUCCUGAGAAUAUUACUAAUACUCAGAUAAAUUCUAAUUCACCAAACAGUUUUCUAGCCAGUACACCUGCACCUUUGGGAAAUAAUUUUUUAGAUGUGUCUUAAAUAUAAGUAUAUACUAUCAGAAUGUGCGUGGCAUGAACACCAAAUCUGCAGAAAUUUUUGUUAAUUCAUUAACAAUGACUGAAUUUGAUAUGAUUAUUUUAACUGAAUCGUGGUUGCACAAUGAAGAGACAGGGACAAUUUGGCCACUUCCAAGUCUAGAGGUGGUGGUGUCUUGAUUGCAGCCCACAA